GACGAACGCUGGCGGCGUGCUUAACACAUGCAAGUCGAACGGUAAGGCCCUUCGGGUACGACGAGUGGCGAACGGGUGAGUAACACGUGGGUGAUCUGCCCUGUACUUCGGGAUAAGCCUGGGAAACUGGGUCUACUACCGGAUAUGACCAAGGACUGCAUGGUUUUUGGUUGGAAAGCCUGUGUUGUAAUAGGCACUGUGCGGUACAGGUUGGGCCCGCGGCCUAUCAGCUUGUUGGUGGGGAAGUGGCCUACCAAGGCGGCGACGGGUAGCCGGCCUGAGAGGGC
rnacentral:rRNA from 1 species